CUUGUGGCGGCCUACGUUGGGCUGCGUCUGGACCUUUCGGGGACCGGAUGCGGCCUGGCGGUCGGGCUGCUCUUGUUGUGCCGGAGAGAAAGGUAGUUGGCUUUCGGGCUGGCUGCUGUUUCCUUAGUGCGUUGAACAACCGGCUCAGAACU